rnacentral:rRNA from 1 species
GGAAUAUUGCACAAUGGGCGAAAGCCUGAUGCAGCGACGCCGCGUGAGGGAUGACGGCCUUCGGGUUGUAAACCUCUUUCAGCAGGGAAGAAGCGAAAGUGACGGUACCUGCAGAAGAAGCACCGGCUAACUACGUGCCAGCAGCCGCGGUAAUACGUAGGGUGCGAGCGUUGUCCGGAAUUAUUGGGCGUAAAGAGCUUGUAGGCGGUUUGUCGCGUCUGCCGUGAAAAUCCGGGGCUCAACCCCGGACUUGCGGUGGGUACGGGCAGACUAGAGUGUGGUAGGGGAGACUGGAAUUCCUGGUGUAGCGGUGAAAUGCGCAGAUAUCAGGAGGAACACCGAUGGCGAAGGCAGGUCUCUGGGCCACUACUGACGCUGAGAAGCGAAAGCAUGGGGAGCGAACAGGAUUAGAUACCCCAG